CUGAGUCUUGGAGUGUCGGCUUGAGACUGACUGAUCUUGAGAUGUGAGACGAGUCCCGUGGGUACGAGACCAUUAUGCCUUGGGCCAUCAAAUCUUGUAAUUUCGUAUUGGGCCUAUUGCUGUCAACGAUUUGGUAAUGAGCAAAACCUUCACGAGUCUUUAGCUUUCUUGAUCAGGGCGGUUAUCUAGUGAGAACGCUUAUGUGCGAACGUUAUAUGAGAACCCAAUCCAGCCAUCCAAAUUAUCUGAACGGCUAAAGAGAAAAAGCAAGCUUACGGUAAAAACGGGUAGGCUGCAGUUCUCCUUAGCCCAAGUGUCAAGUCACGCCUGUUUCGAAAGAACACGCCUUUCUUCUUCCUGACAGUCGCCAGUCGCACCUUUCUUGUCAAUAAAUUGAUGAAUUGAUGAAUUUAUGAAUCAACCCUAAACACCCAAAAUACCUACCAGACAUAAAUUUGUGUAUUUCUCUUGUCGCAAAAGCUCCCUAGUGUACUCUGUCUCUU
rnacentral:lncRNA from 1 species